CGGACGGGUGAGUAACGCGUGAGCAACCUGCCUUUCAGAGGGGGGACAACAGUUGGAAACGACUGCUAAUACCGCAUGAUACUUUUGGGAGGCAUCUCCAAAAAGUCAAAGAUUUAUCGCUGAAAGAUGGGCUCGCGUCUGAUUAGAUAGUUGGUGGGGUAACGGCCUACCAAGUCAACGAUCAGUAGCCGGACUGAGAGGUUGAACGGCCACAUUGGGACUGAGAUACGGCCCAGACCCCUACGGGAGGCAGCAG
rnacentral:rRNA from 1 species